UUCUGUUCCAAUACCUCUCAAUGAAUUUCCUAUGCAACAGCAUCAGUUUAAGUCUGCUUCAAAGUCUUAUUGAUUUUUCUUAUUCAAGCGCGCACAACCCUUCCAAAAAAUUCUACCAGGUACAUCAGAUGAGGAGGACAUCACACGGACAGUCUACAAUUUGUUUGGAGGUUUACAUAAAAGCUGAGAGGAAGAAAGGGAGAGGAGGGGAUAAAAUGUAAUAAAAAUAUACGCAGUAUAAAAAAUAUGGGAACACAUCUAUGAUGCAGCCCUCUUGAUGUAGAAGAACCUGCAGCUAAGGGGAAUCAAGAAACCUUACAGAUCCAGAAUCACUUUCACCAUAAAGGGUACAAACCCUCACCCAACUGUUGCCCUCCAAUAGCUGGAAUUCUGGUUUAAGCACCCCCAUGUAGCCCUUCAAAAUUAAAAAUUGUUUUUGGAAUUUUUGGAAAAUUUUUGUGAAUUUAUGUUCUGCAGACAGGAAUUUAUAUAAUUAUGAAA